rnacentral:antisense_RNA from 1 species
UUGAUGGUGUACUCCCAGUCGGAGUCGCCGUCCCCCAGCACCUGGGCGCCGAAGUACUCGCCGUCGGCCAUCACGUCGAGCACGGUCUGGUCGCCGUACUCGCCCCUGCCGAUCUUGUUGACCUUCCCGUGCGCCAGCAGGUAGACGGCGUCCGCCCGGUUGCCCGCCUCGGCGAUCACGUCACCGGGCUCGAACUCCUCCUGGCGGAACCGGUCGGCCAGCGCGGUGAGCGCGUCCUCGUCGUCGAAUCCGCGCAGCAGCGGCAGCUCGCACAGCUCGUGGGGGAUGACCCGGAUCUCGGCGCCGGUGUUGGUGAAGGUGACCCUGCCGUCGCCGAUGACGUAGCUCAGCCGGCGGUUGACCCGGUAGGUCCCGCCGGGGGUGUGCACCCAGGGCAGCAUGCGCAGGAGCCAACGCGAGGUGAUGCCCUGCAUCUGCGGAGCGGACUUGGUCGUGGUUGCCAGGUUCCGCGCCGCGGCCGUACCCAGGCUCAGCUGGGAACGCCCG